GGAAAUCUGCAGAUUUGGAUGCACAAACAAUUAGACAUAAGACACAGCAUAAUGAAGUAUUUGUUUUCAUAGAGGAUCAUAGAAAUUCAUAAACAGAGGAUGAAGAAACACAGAAGACAGAGGAAGGAUUUAGUUUUGGGAACAUGUGCUAAUGGCCAUCAAACAAUUCUGAAAUAACUGAAAGAGAACCUUUGAAACACCCUUUAGAUUAAGAGCCUGGCUUGUAAUCUGUAACAACAAACGGUAUUACAAUGAGAAAAAUAAAUGUCCUGUCAAGGCAUUCCUUCAAUGACAUCUUGUCACACAAGUCUAUAUCCAAGGCUGCCCACAAAGUGG
rnacentral:lncRNA from 1 species